GGUCUGAAGUGGGGCAGGCCCUCUAUCCUCCUCGUCCCCCGCCCACAGAGGCCUCCACACCCUCUUCACAACAAACGCAUUUGUUGCAUUGUGUGACUGGAUAUUUUGGUGCUGUGCGGAGAUAUUAAUUUCAAGUCUAGAUCAAUACAAGCAGCGUAAGCAUGGAGUCUGGGAAGGAACUCGGGGGGCUAUGAACACAGAGAUUCAGGGUGAAGCUGCAGAAAUCUGGGGGCAGGCGUUUGGACUUCCACAGUCUGUGGUGGACUAACAGGGUGGACCACAUUUUGUCAGAACUUUCCACCAUGAGCUGUCCAUCAUGGUGAUGACCAUUAUAUCUACUACUGUGGGCAAGAAUCCCUUAGAAGAAAUGGAGUAGCCAUCAUAGUCAACAAAAGAGUCCAAAAUGCAGUACUUGGA
ensembl:lncRNA